GCGCAUACUCAGGGUCAAUGUAGCCAAUUGUGCCCAUCACAUAGGUUGACGUGUGGGUCUUGGAGAUGCACACGCUCUUGGCAAUGCCAAAGUCAGCAAGGUGCGCCACAUAGUCCUUGUCCAGGAGGAUAUUCUUCGAUUUUACAUCCCUGUGAAUUAUCCGUGGGCUGCAGUCAUGGUGAAGAUAAGCCAGCCCUUGGGCAGUGCCGAGAGCAAUCUGGAGUCUAG
rnacentral:rRNA from 1 species